CCAAUAGCGUAUAUUAAAGUUGUUGCAGUUAAAAAGCUCGUAGUUGAAUUUCGGGAUCAGUACGCUGGUCGUGCCUCCGGUAUGUACUGGUGUCACUGAUUCCUCCCUUCUGAAGAACCAUCAUGCCAUUCACUUGGUGUGGUGGGGAAUCAGGACUGUUACUUUGAAAAAAUUAGAGUGUUUAAAGCAGGCUCGCGCUUGAAUACAUUAGCAUGGAAUAAUGAAAUAGGACGUUUAUCCUAUUUUGUUGGUUUCUAGGAUUGACGUAAUGAUUAAUAGGGAUAGUUGGGGGCAUUAGUAUUCAAUUGUCAGAGGUGAAAUUCUUGGAUUUAUUGAAGACUAACUACUGCGAAAGCAUUUGCCAAGGAUGUUUUCAUUAAUCAAGAACGAAAGUUAGGUGAUCGAAGACGAUCAGAUACCGUCGUAGUCUUAACCAUAAACUAUGCCGACUAGGGAUCGGAUGAUGUUAAUUUUUUAAUGACUCAUUCGGCGCCUUACG
rnacentral:rRNA from 1 species